rnacentral:rRNA from 2 species
CAAACGACUCUCGGCAACGGAUAUCUCGGCUCACGCAUCGAUGAAGAACGUAGCAAAAUGCGAUACUUGGUGUGAAUUGCAGAAUCCCGUGAACCAUCGAGUUUUUGAACGCAAGUUGCGCCCGAAGCCACUUGGUUGAGGGCACGUCUGCCUGGGCGUCACAC